CUUUUUUUCUCAGUUUACUGCCUUUUUAGGACUUUCCCCCAGUAAUUACAGCUCAUUCUGUACAUCUGACAAGAUUGCUCCUCGUAGGACAAUUUCCCAAUAUUUCCAGCUGGGACUGGUUGGUAUCCUCUUCCCAUAUGAUCCUUUUGUCCAACUGCUGUGGUGUGCAGAAAAAGUGAAAAUGUUCAGCCCAGGAAUUCAUAUAGUAUGCGACCUUACUACAGCAGCCAGUGUUAGCAGCUCUGCAAGAUUAAGCUGACCUCAGUCACAAAGAAAACCUUGCAGACAGCAAUACAAGCAAAUGUUUUCUAACUUCUUUGUACCUUUCCAAUAGAAUGAGGAAAAAUUAAUAAAAAGAUAAAUAUAAAUGGAACUGGUGCAUUGAAGGUGUAUUUCAUCCAGAACCUGAUACCCCAGUGAUCAAGAACUGUGAAUCUUCCAACUGAGGCAACUUGCCGGGUAAUUUCCAUCACCAGAGGUUUCAAGGUCAUGGAGUAGACAAGACUAAAUCACGCACCUCAAAGAGUGUUAAGAAACGAUUUCACAGAACAAGAGCAAUUUGCAUUGUUUUCUCACUGCUAUAAAGCAAGGAAACAUCAAUUUUCCAGUGCCUGCAUUGUACCUUUCCUGUGCCUCGUGCUGCAAAACUCAAGUAUCAGGAGACAAGUAAUGGCCUGGCAACUUUUCCACACUGCUUCGGUUGCACUAGGAACUUUGAGCUGUGUGACAAAAGGAAUUGGUGUCUUCUCUUUAAAUGCUAAUCCAUAAACUGGGCAUCACACCAGCAAAAGGCAAUGUCUGAACACUCCAACUGAUGCUGCAUAGCUCUGCAAAGUUGGCCCAGUUCUUGACUCAUGCAAUUAUGGAUAUGUUGAUGGUUGCAGGAUAGCAGAACUUGAAUGGAGACUGUGCUUUCAUGAUACUCCUCUGGCAAUAUCCAUUACUGCCUGCGGCCUACUCUGUGCUCCAUUUGCUGCUGCAGUGUACAGCAUGACCUCACAGACAGUUGUACAGGCCACCUGAGGAGAUAAGGCACCAUUUCAUGGAGCUAAAAUCAACCAUCUGUGAAGUAGGCAGAAGAACUCCUUAACUCAAUGUUGAUGCCAGCACAUUCACAUAAUGAAAACACAGUAUUUCUGUUGUAACAUCAUAGUAGUAUGUGUUAGGCCAGUAGGAUGUUCCAGGAAGCUGUGUAAAGGCUCAUGAACACCAUUGGGGUCUUCUGAGCCUGUAUGUGACACUGCUUCUCUUCAGAAGCCCAGUCACAGCAAGAUGUGAUACUUGAUGCUGAAUCACAGAUGACAGGAAACCUGCAUGUGGAAGUUUGCAUGUAUCUGGAUGCAUACCUGUAAUCAACCUCAUGAAUAGAAGCUCGAUUUUUGCUUCACAGUUACUUUCAAAUUCUGUAGAAUUUACUCUUGCUUCAUACUAAUUUAGAGACCAGUCACUAGAGGCCAAUAUGUUGGAGGCCCUGUCCCUGCUUUUGAUCAACGUGAGGGUGUGAUACUAACAAGAAAAAGAUUCUGCCGCUUAAAGUAAUUGUGCUGUGCAAACUAGGAAGGGCUCCAUGCAUUGCUCAUGCUGCCAGUAUUUUAAUGAAAAUACUGGUAAACAAGUAAAUAAAAAACUAAUAUUCCUGUUGAA